CCUACGGGGUGCAGCAGUGAGGAAUAUUGGUCAAUGGACGAGAGUCUGAACCAGCCAAGUAGCGUGAAGGAUGACUGCCCUAUGGGUUGUAAACUUCUUUUAUAUGGGAAUAAAACGUUCCACGUGUGGGAUUUUGUAUGUACCAUAUGAAUAAGGAUUGGCUAACUCCGUGCCAGCAGCCGCGGUAAUACGGAGGAUCCGAGCGUUAUCCGGAUUUAUUGGGUUUAAAGGGAGCGUAGGUGGAUUGUUAAGUCAGUUGUGAAAGUUUGCGGCUCAACCGUAAAAUUGCAGUUGAAACUGGCAGUCUUGAGUACAGUAGAGGUGGGCGGAAUUCGUGGUGUAGCGGUGAAAUGCUUAGAUAUCACGAAGAACUCCGAUUGCGAAGGCAGUUCACUGGACUGCAACUGACACUGAGGCUCGAAAGUGUGGGUAUCAAACAGGAUUAGAUACCCUUGUAGUC
rnacentral:rRNA from 1 species